rnacentral:lncRNA from 1 species
GUACUAUAUUAGCAGGUUGGUAAGAUUAACGUCAUGAACUAGAUUUAGAUUUCCAUUCAGAGAACACGGGAAAGAAUCCAAUUCCGUGCAUUGAUAAAUAUUUAUAAGGUAUCCUGACUGUGCUCAUCAAUCUCUAACUUCCACAGUUCGUAUGAUCUUACUAACGGUGUGAACAACUCUUGGCUGACUCUGGUCUAGCCACUUAGUAGGAUAAUCUUUUACUUUUUUUUUUAAAUUUUAACUCCAAUAAUUUUGAUUACUAAAUGCCACGGACCGAUUCAGGUCCUGCCAAGAGCCGCCAAAUCCGUGAAGAUGUCAUAUGGACUGUAAAGGACAGGAAUUGAAUAUUGAUCAAGAUCUAUCAAAUAAAUUUUCAAAGAUCUGACACCUGGGAUCAAAUCCAGAUUUAUUGAAUGGAAAGCCGAAGCCUUUCCAUAUGACCAAUCUAGACGAAUGUAUUUUACUUCUUGUAUAAUUAACGUUAUUUUCUACAUAAAAGGAUAUUAUGUGCGGAACCAUUCUAAAGGACACCAUGAUCAAUCCAAACUCUUACCCUUGGAGACAUCUGCUGGUAAAUCUGCUAGUAAAUGAUCGAGAGAUUGCCCAUUUCCCUCAUGGAAAGAUUUGGAGAUAUGGAAUCUAAAAUCGAUCCUGAUUUGGUCGAUUGAUUAAUUACGUUGUCUAACAGCAAGAAAAAACUACUACAGACUGACCAACAACUGUUAUGGAUUAAUUAAAUGAUUGAAAGAUGGGAUUUAAUUCAGGGCCUGAUUAUCUAUUAGGCACAUUAGGUUCGUGCCUAGGAGCCACCAACAAGAAGCUUCAAAAUAGGUUAAAAAAUGCACGAUUUUAUAAUUUAUUUAAAAUAUUUGGUUGUGCCUGUAGCAUGAGUAAAUCCACGGCCGGAUUAAGAUCUCUAAAGCAUCUUAAUCAGCGGUUGACCUUAUGCGGCCAACUGAAUGACCUCACUUAGUAAACUGAACACGAGUAGACAGUGGCAUAAUUUAAAACAUUUAAUAUUAAUAUUCAAUAGGUGAUUUUUACAAUAAUAAUUAUUCUUUAAAAUUGCGCGCUAGCUAUUGAUAUUCUGUGCCGUUGCAUCAUCCAUUCA